ACAGGUGUCGGUGAAUCUCAACCCUCUGAGUGCAAAGCCAUGGCUGGGAAAGGCUCCACGGGCUACAGCAUUAACCUCCCCUACAGAGACCUGGCCUCCGAGGUGAUGAGGCGCAGGAUCACCAUGACCAGGAGAUGCAAUCCAUUCUAUAUGACAACCAAGUGGGAAAAAUGGAUACAUCUCUCAUCUUCCCCUGGGGCAGUGCAGUCUCCAUGGGAGGUUACUUGUCCACCUGCCUCCCGCAUAGUGAACUGACCAACUCUGAGCACAGAACUAGACCAUGUGGGUACAGAAGAGGAGAAACUUCACUCCAUACCAGUGCCUCCUUCUUCAUUCCUGGGAUGACCGGAUGGGC